rnacentral:lncRNA from 1 species
AUGUGGAUGAACAUCCCUUACCCCAUGCUGAUGGAGCACUGCAAUGUCCCUGCCUGCCCUUCACACCAAAAGGGCUUGGAAGACGAGCGUGCAUCUGCCCAACAGCUUUCAGAGCGAGCCAUCCCUGGCAGCCAAAGCAGAUUCUCCGUGCCUGCUUCCAAGCAGCACGAGAUGAAACAACUGGUGGCAGAGUGGGGUGUCUCUACAGUCCUAGCCAUGAAGAGAGAGGAUGAAACAUCCUGGAACAGCACAGGGAAGAGGCUGGAGCUGGGCUGCUGUCUCCACAGCUGUAGAACUACGAAACCUCACCGUGAAACCACCCACCGGAGCAGGGCUUUGGAGUUUGGCAGGCAGAGCACGGGCUCGGCUCUCCCCAGUCCGCAGGCGCAUUUUUGGGGUUGUGUGUUUACUGAAAUCUUGGCUUUGCUGGUCUGCAGAGAAUAAAAGUUGAUUGUUGAGCAGCCAGGGCUCGGCGUCGCCCUGCCUGUACGUGUAAAUAGCCUGCCCAGCCAGGCCAGGCCAGGGGGGAUGUCUGGGGGGCCACAGCCUGCUCGUGUGAGGAGCCUUGUCUCUGCUCUGUGCUAAACACGUCUCUGGUUACCUGCUCUCACUGGAGCUUUUCUGGCUCCUCCAAUCCUUUCCUUGGCUGCUCUGGCUGCAGGGCCUUGUGAUAGCCGGCUGGAUUUAUUUAUUUAAUAAUAAAACUUAAAGAGCGGG